AGCUUUGCACAGUGGCAGUAUCAUAGCCAAUGAGGUUUAUCCGAGGCGCGAUUAUUGCUAAUCAAAUCAGUGACUAAAGAAAGGACUAUCCAACCAUACCUCAUACUAGAACAAAAAUAAAUUCCAGAAAAAUUAAAACUUAA